AGAUGGAGUCUUGCUCUGUUGCCAGGCUGGAGUGCAGCGGCACGAUCUCGGCUCACUGCAACCUCUGCCUCCUAGAUUCAAGCGAUUCUCCUGCCUCAGCCUCCUGAGUAGCUGGGACUACAGAGAAAUAAGGAGAGAUGAAGCAACCAUUGGGAAGUGGAAACUAUAUAAUUUUCAUAAAGACAGAAGAUGCUCUUUCUUCAUGCAAUUAUAUCUUCCAGAAAAGCAAAGACAGAGAAAAAAGGAUAACAAGUACUUUAUUGAUAUCCUAGCAUGAGUCAGUUCUAAUGGCAUCUGAGUAUUUUCCUAAGUGAUUUAUCUUUCUCAUGCGUCUCCGUAAGUCAGGAAGAUUUCUAGAAUGGCUAUUAAGAAUUCCACACGUGUAAGUAAUAAUUGCCAAACACUGUAACUUCUAUUAAGGAGGGGGACUGUCAAAGAAUCAGACUGGUUAUUUAGAAUUGGCAGUUGUUAUAAGUUAUUAGUAGACUAAUGGUAACUGCUGUUAAAUACUAAAGAAUCAGAUACAGUCAGGCAUCACUUAACAAUAGGGAUACAUUCUGAGAAAUGCAUUAGGUGAUUUCAUCGUGUGUGAACAUCACAGUACUUACACAAACCUAGAUGGUAUACCCUACUACACACCUAAGCUAUAUGGUAUAGCCUAUUGCUCCUAGGCUACAAACCUGUACAGCAUGUAACUGUCCUGAAUAGUGCAGGCACUUGCUACACAGUGAUAAGUACUUGUAUAUCUAAACACAGAAAAUGUACAGUAAAAAUACAGUAUCAUAAUCUUAUGACUGCUGUGGCAUAUGCAGUCCAUCACUGACCAAAAUGUUAUGCAGCACAUGACUAUAUUCUAAUAUACAUCAAUCAGUGUUUCUUAAACUGAGGUCCAAGAAGUCUCAAGUUCAAGAAACACUGGUAUGUAAUUCAUGAUACCCUGGCUCUGCGAAAUUGUAGGGUAAAUGACUUUUCUGACUUUGCCAGCAACACUUCUAAUGGAACCAUGAUCGACAUGGAAACCACAGUUGAACAAGUAUUAGAAAAUAAGGUCAGAAUUUAGAUUUUCUCAUCACCAAAAUUAGCACAUUAGCCCAAUGAUAAAUAAGACAGUUUAUAUGCAGUUUCAGGUCUUUAAAUAUUUCAUUUUGAAAAGAAUAUCAGAAAAAAAAAAUAGCCUGGAAAAAUAACCUGGAGAAUAUCUUCUGGAAUUUUAGUUACUUCUGGAGGUGUAGGUGUUCUGAGCAGAUUCUCAUAAGAAGAAAUCGUAGGUGAAGAGGGAUCUGUUAAAUUCUCAAAGCAUGUGUCUGAAUUUAAAACCAACGAAGUAUGAUCUUUAACUUCCAAAUCAUUUGAUGAACUAUUUGUUUUUGAUAAUGGGUAAUUUGUGGAUACCUGUUGAAUAAAAAUAAACCAUUAAAUUAUGGUAAUAUAACAUAAUGUAGUAAAUAAAAAUAGUUAAUCAUUUGUUAGUUCUAUUGGGGUCUCUAAUAGGCCCCAAUAUGCCCCAUCUUCUCUGACCAAGUUCUAAACAAAAUCAAGAACAAAUGGCAUACAGAGGACAAAAUAUCAUCUUCAUUACUAAUAAAGGCUGAGUUAAAGCUUAAUGUCAGCAAGGUGCGGUGGCUUACGACUGUAAUCCCAGCACUUUGGGAGGCCGAGGUGGGCCGAUCAUGAGGUCAGGAGUUUGAGACCAGCCUCGCCAACAUGGUGAAACCCCGUCUCUACUAAAAAUACAAAAAAUUAGCCAGGUGUGGUGGCACAUGCCUGUAAUCCCAGCUACUCAGGAGACUGAGGCAGGAGAAUUGCUUGAACCCAGAGGCGGAGGUUGCAGUGAGCCAAGAUUGCGCCACUGCACUCCAGCCUGGGUGACAGAGUGAGACUCCGUCUCAAAAAAACAACAACAACAAAAAAACGCUUAAUGUCAUAACUAAAUAGAAUGAACCAAAGAUUUAGAUGGAUACUCCCACCCCAUCUCAGGCAACAGUGAGUGUAGUCAGACGAAAAUCACAGCAUGAACAAAUGUUACCACAUGCCCUCCCAAAAGGAAGAAAGCAGAUCAGAGGUAAGUUUAGUAUGCAGAUUAUUCAUGGUAAAUCAGCCAAUUGGGUAAGUUGCUUCAUCUCUCUCAGGUCAGAGUUAACAGAGAGGAUAGAGUGUCACCUCAGUAGGGUACCUUCCACGUGAACAUAAGGAGUAGAUUAAUUGUAAAUGGCAGGUACUAACAGGCAGAUAACCUGAUACUUCAAUUGGUAACACAGCCCUGUGUUCAUCCACAGCUGCACUGUCCAAUAUAGUAGCCACAGCCACAUGGGGCUCUUUAAAUUAAAUUUUAAGCUAAUUAAAAUUAAAUAAAGUUUAAAGAGUUAAAUAUUAGUUCUUCAGAUAUACUAGACACAUUUUCAGUGCUCAAUAACGUGAUUAGAGGCUACCAUAUUGGACAGUGCAGACUAUAAAACAUUUCCAUCAUUAUAGAAAAUUCUAUUGGAUACCCUAAUACAGUAUUGGUUUUCUACAGCAUUGGUUAAGUCACCCUACUGACUAAAGAGGGAUAAGGUUUUGAUUUGAUGAAAUCUGAUUAAAUUUAUUUGUUGGUAAAAUUUAGGUAAAAAAAGCACAAAAUCACCCAUAAUUUUAUCACCCAGAGAUAACUACACUUUGCUGUUUCUAUCCACUUUUUCCUUAAAAUAUGUGUAUAUAUAUGUGUGUGAACAUACACACACAUCAUUUUCCAUAUGAUUAAUAUUUCUUGAAAACAUUCUUUUUAUAUGCUCUCAUCUGUUUUUCAAAACAUGAUAGUAUACGUAACACCUGAUCUUAUGGAUAUGCCUUGCUGUGUUUUAGUUCCUUGGUAUCAUUCGAUAUUUAUACUGUUUCCCAUGUUUUGUGCUUAUAAAUAAUGCUGUUCCUUACUCUA